GACCUUUUCUUGUUCAUAAGCAUGAUGAUUUAAUGGUCACAUGCUUGUGUGACAUGUGCCUCCCUUAAAUCUUCUUAUGUAUCUGGCAUAUUACCUAUCUGAUG